rnacentral:rRNA from 1 species
UACGUAGGGGGCAAGCGUUUGUCCGGAUUUAUUGGGCGUAAAGAGCUCGUAGGCGGUUCCGUAAGUCGUGAAGUCAAAUCUCUGGGCUCAACCCAGAAUCGCUUCCGAUACUGCGGUGACUGGAGUCCGGUAGGGGAGUGUGGAAUUCCUGGUGUAGCGGUGAAAUGCGCAGAUAUCAGGAGGAACACCAACAGCGAAGGCAGCACUCUGGGCCGGUACUGACGCUGAGGAGCGAAAGCAUGGGGAGCGAACAGG